CCUUCGAUAGCUCAGCUGGUAGAGCGGAGGACUGUAGACAAUGUUGCCAUAGCAGUGAUCCUUAGGUCGCUGGUUCGAUUCCGGCUCGAAGGA
rnacentral:tRNA from 1 species